rnacentral:rRNA from 1 species
UUAAAGAAAGCGUAACAGCUCACUGGUCGAGCGAGCCUGCACCGAAAAUUUAACGGGGCUCAAGUCAUGCGCCGAAGCUAUGGGAUUUAUAUUUAUAUAAAUCGGUAGGGGAGCGUUCCCUGUGCAGUGAAGCUGAAUCGAAAGGGUCAGUGGAGCGCAGGGAAGUGAGGAUGUUGGCAUAAGUAACGAAAAUGUGGGCGAGAAACCCACACGCCGAAAGCCCAAGGUUUCCCGGGCCAUGUUAUUCAGCCCGGGGUUAGUCGGCACCUAAGACGAGGCCGAAAGGCGUAGUCGACGGAAAACCGGUUCAUAUUCCGGUACUUGCAUGUGCGCGUGAUGGAGGGACGCAGGAGGAUAGGCCGGCCUGGUGAUGGAUAUCCAGGUUCAAGGCCGUAGGCGGAAGUCCCAGGUAAAUCCGGGACUUUAUCUAACGCCGAGAGUCGAUGACGAGAGGCUUUGCUUCGCAAAGCGGUCGAUUCCACACUGCCAAGAAAAGCUUCUAAGCAUAGCAGAUGCAAACCGUACCCCAAACCGACACAGGUGGGCGGGUAGAGAAUACCAAGGCGCUUGAGGGAAAUCAUGUUAAGGAACUCUGCAAAAUAACUCCGUAACUUCGGAAGAAGGAGUGCCUGCAGCGGUGAAGGGACUUGCUCCUGGAGCUUAAGCGGGCCGCAGUGACCAGGCCCAGCCGACUGUUUAGCAAAAACACAGCACUCUGCUAAAUCGCAAGAUGAUGUAUAGGGUGUGACGCCUGCCCGGUGCCGGAAGGUUAAUGGGAGGGGUUAGGUCUUCGGACCGAAGCUCCGAACUGAAGCCCCGGUAAACGGCGGCCGUAACUAUAACGGUCCUAAGGUAGCGAAAUUCCUUGUCGGGUAAGUUCCGACCUGCACGAAUGGCGUAACGAUCUGGGCGCUGUCUCAAUGUGAUUCUCAGUGAAAUUGAAAUGGCGGUGAAGAUACCGUCAACCCGCGGCAAGACGGAAAGACCCCGUGCACCUUUACUGCAGCUUGGCAGUGAACUUGGGAAAGAUUUGUGUAGGAUAGGUGGGAGGCUGCGAAGGGGGGGCGCUAGUCCCUCUGGAGCCACCCUUGAAAUACCACCCUGAUUUUUUCUGUGUUCUAACUUAGUCCCGUUAUCCGGGACAAGGACCCUGCCUGGUGGGCAGUUUGACUGGGGCGGUCGCCUCCUAAAGAGUAACGGAGGCGCGCAAUGGUUCCCUCAGCCGGUUUGGAAAUCCGGCGCAGAGUGCAAAGGCACAAGGGAGCUUGACUGCAAGAGCGACAGCUCGAGCAGGUACGAAAGUAGGUCUUAGUGAUCCGGUGGCCCCGUGUGGAAGGGCCAUCGCUCAACGGAUAAAAGGUACUCCGGGGAUAACAGGCUAAUCGCGCCCAAGAGUUCACAUCGACGGCGCGGUUUGGCACCUCGAUGUCGGCUCAUCGCAUCCUGGGGCUGAAGCAGGUCCCAAGGGUAUGGCUGUUCGCCAUUUAAAGCGGUACGCGAGCUGGGUU